CGAGCGGACAGAUGGGAGCUUGCUCCCUGAUGUUAGCGGCGGACGGGUGAGUAACACGUGGGUAACCUGCCUGUAAGACUGGGAUAACUCCGGGAAACCGGGGCUAAUACCGGAUGGUUGUUUGAACCGCAUGGUUCAGACAUAAAAGGUGGCUUCGGCUACCACUUACAGAUGGACCCGCGGCGCAUUAGCUAGUUGGUGAGGUAACGGCUCACCAAGGCGACGAUGCGUAGCCGACCUGAGAGGGUGAUCGGCCACACUGGGACUGAGACACGGCCCAGACUCCUACGGGAGGCAGCAGUAGGGAAUCUUCCGCAAUGGACGAAAGUCUGACGGAGCAACGCCGCGUGAGUGAUGAAGGUUUUCGGAUCGUAAAGCUCUGUUGUUAGGGAAGAACAAGUGCCGUUCAAAUAGGGCGGCACCUUGACGGUACCUAACCAGAAAGCCACGGCUAACUACGUGCCAGCAGCCGCGGUAAUACGUAGGUGGCAAGCGUUGUCCGGAAUUAUUGGGCGUAAAGGGCUCGCAGGCGGUUUCUUAAGUCUGAUGUGAAAGCCCCCGGCUCAACCGGGGAGGGUCAUUGGAAACUGGGGAACUUGAGUGCAGAAGAGGAGAGUGGAAUUCCACGUGUAGCGGUGAAAUGCGUAGAGAUGUGGAGGAACACCAGUGGCGAAGGCGACUCUCUGGUCUGUAACUGACGCUGAGGAGCGAAAGCGUGGGGAGCGAACAGGAUUAGAUACCCUGGUAGUCCACGCCGUAAACGAUGAGUGCUAAGUGUUAGGGGGUUUCCGCCCCUUAGUGCUGCAGCUAACGCAUUAAGCACUCCGCCUGGGGAGUACGGUCGCAAGACUGAAACUCAAAGGAAUUGACGGGGGCCCGCACAAGCGGUGGAACAUGUGGUUUAAUUCGAAGCAACGCGAAGAACCUUACCAGGUCUUGACAUCCUCUGACAAUCCUAGAAAUAGGACGUCCCCUUCGGGGGCAAAGUGACAGGUGGUGCAUGGGUUGUCGUCAGCUCCGGUCCUGAAAAGUUGGGUUAAGUCCCGCAACGAGGCGCAACCC
rnacentral:rRNA from 1 species